CAAGCACGAGCAUGUGUGCGAGGCACCGGGAUCAGCGCACCAGUCAACCGAUGUGUCAUCCGCACAGAGAGGGAUAGAAAACAAUUUAAACCCAAAGCAAGAGAAAAAGGAGAAGUGGUGUCGGCUCGCCACGUAGGACUAAGGUUACGCGCGAUGACUGACUGAAACAUGGCCCAUGCUUUUGACUGUGACAACUCAUUUGGACAUUUUCUAUUGUUCCACUUCGAGACCGUUGGCGCUGUCAAGGCAAAGCAAUGCGGGAGGAGAAGUCUUGCCGGGAGUUGUCGGACACUUGCCAGCCUAUGUUUGGUAGCAGCCAGUGUGAUGUGUUGCUGCACGAAUUCCCGACUGCAUACUGGGAUUAGAAACUUCUUCGGAGAGUCUUGGCAUGAAGCAAAGGUCACCGACAUACACCGAAUUCUCCUCUCGGAAUGAGUCAAUCCAUUUAUCAGGAACUCAGACAGGCUUCUUGUGAGGGACGCAGCACCGUGACCUCUGCAUUACCGCGGAGCGCUCUCCUCCUCAGACUCCCAGCACAUGAUGCAGAACCCGGG